rnacentral:rRNA from 1 species
AUGAGCCGCUAUUUUGAGGAUAAUCCCGUGUACCCCGAGUCGUACUUCCGGCGCCGGUUUAGGAUGAGCACCGAGUUGUUCAGGCGCAUUGCAGAGAAACUAGCGAGCCAUGAUCGGUUUUUUCAGCAAAGGAGGAAUGUCGCAGGAGAGCUCGGGCAUAGCACCUUUCAUAAGACAGCCGCUUUGCGUAUGUUGGCAUACAAUAUUCCAGCUGAUCUAGUUGAUGGCCACUUGGCCAUGGGUGAGAGUCAAGCCAUCAUGUGUGUCAAGCGCUUCGCAGUCGGAAUUGUGCAAGUGUUUGGCCUGGAGUAUUUGAGAUUUCCCAAAGCUGAAGACUGUGCAAGGCUUUUGGAGAUGAACUAA